UGUCCUACGGGGGGCAGCAGUGGGGGAUAUUGCACAAUGGGGGAAACCCUGAUGCAGCGACGCCGCGUGGGCGAAGAAGUAUUUCGGUAUGUAAAGCCCUAUCAGCAGGGAAGAAGAAAUGACGGUACCUGAGUAAGAAGCACCGGCUAAAUACGUGCCAGCAGCCGCGGUAAUACGUAUGGUGCAAGCGUUAUCCGGAUUUACUGGGUGUAAAGGGAGCGUAGACGGCAGUGCAAGUCUGGAGUGAAAGGCGUGGGCUCAACCCCCGGACUGCUCUGGAAACUGUACGGCUGGAGUGUAGGAGG
rnacentral:rRNA from 1 species